GAUGAACGCUGGCGGCGUGCCUAAUACAUGCAAGUCGAGCGAACGGACGAGAAGCUUGCUUCUCUGAUAUUAGCGGCGGACGGGCGAGUAACACGUGGAUAACCUACCUAUAAGACUGGGAUAACUUCGGGAAACCGGAGCUAAUACCGGAUGAUAUUUUGAACCGCAUGGUUCAAAAGUGAAAGACGGUCUUGCUGUCACUUAUAGAUGGAUCCGCGCUGCAUUAGCUAGUUGGCAAGGUAACGGCUUACCAAGGCAACGAUGCAUAGCCGACCUGAGAGGGUGAUCGGCCACACUGGAACUGAGACACGGUCCAGACUCCUACGGGAGGCAGCAGUAGGGAAUCUUCCGCAAUGGGCGAAAGCCUGACGGAGCAACGCCGCGUGAGUGAUGAAGGUCUUCGGAUCGUAAAACUCUGUUAUUAGGGAAGAACAUAUGUGUAAGUAACUGUGCACAUCUUGACGGUACCUAAUCAGAAAGCCACGGCUAACUACGUG
rnacentral:rRNA from 1 species